AGUGAACGCUGGCGGUAGGCCUAACACAUGCAAGUCGAACGGUAGCACAGUAAGAGCUUGCUCUUACGGGUGGCGAGUGGCGGACGGGUGAGGAAUACAUCGGAAUCUACUUUUUCGUGGGGGAUAACGUAGAGAAACUUACGCUAAUACCGCAUACGACCUACGGGUGAAAGCAGGGGAUCUUCGGACCUUGCGCGAUUGAAUGAGCCGAUGUCGGAUUAGCUAGUUGGCGGGGUAAAGGCACACCAAGGCGACGAUCCGUAGCUGGUCUGAGAGGAUGAUCAGCCACACUGGAACUGAGACACGGUCCAGACUCCUACGGGAGGCAGCAGUGGGGAAUAUUGGACAAUGGGCGAAAGCCUGAUCCAGCCAUACCGCGUGGGUGAAGAAGGCCUUCGGGUUGUAAAGCCCUUUUGUUGGGAAAGAAAAGCAGCAGGUUAAUACCCCGCUGUUCUGACGGUACCCAAAGAAUAAGCACCGGCUAACUUCGUG
rnacentral:rRNA from 1 species